AACGCACCUUGCGCUCCUUGGUAUUCCGAGGAGCAUGCCUGUUUGAGUGUCAUUAAAUUCUCAACCUCACCCGUUUUCUGAAUGGGACUGAGGCUUGGAUGUGGGGGUUUGUGCAGGCUGCCUUCUUGUGCGGUCUGCUCCCCUGAAAUGCAUUAGCGAGUUCAUACUGAACUUCCGUCUAUUGGUGUGAUAAUUAUCUACGCCGUGGACGAGGUUUAGACUUGCUUCUAACCGUCCGCAAGGACAAUACCUUGACAAUUUGACCUCAAAUCAGGUAGGACUACCCGCUGAACUUAA
rnacentral:misc_RNA from 2 species